CCGCCUGGCGGGCCCUGAGGGGAAACAACGAGUCGAGUUCCACUGCACCUGACCCGGAGGGAAUCCUCUUUUAAAGUGCAGAGGACGGGGGGAGCGCUAAGCAUAACUUCUGUAACGGGAUAUUCUCCCGUUACGAGCUGCUUAGAUCAAGUACAAACUCAAGAUUCAAGGAGAAGCUUGAGAUACAACAGUAGAGUGCAUUUUAGAUGAAGCAAAAUUUAACGAGCGCUCCCUGGGGUACACCCAACGUUCUCAUUGGGAGUGUUCCGCUACAAUGAGGAGAAAUCAUCCCUGAGAAGACAAACAGAAAGCCCAUCCCUGCCAUAAGUGCAAGUCACCACCAUGAGUACUUGUGAAAUGACGUUUUCAAAGAUGCUUCGGAUGAUGGAUAUAUAUGAAGUCACUGUUAAUGCUUCCCUCCUCUCCUGAAACAAGGAAGACAUGGGCAUCAUUGUCCAAGGAGAACCAACUCUUAGCACUAGGUAAGUAAUGUAAAAAACUGUUGGAAAAUUGAAAUAAAAUAAUCAGAAAAAAAGAACAGGCAAAGAAAACUAAAAUUCAGCAGAAAAUGCCUUGCUGUAUGCAUGGGUGGCAUGGCCACAUCUUGACUGCUACAUUUACUUUUGGUACUCCUAUCUCUUAUUAAAAAAAUAGAAGUGCAAAAAAGGUGACGAAGAUAAAAACAGGCAUUACAAACUUGCUUCUAGUAGAUCAGAAUCCUUCUUAUCCAACAGAUACAAUAGUGGUAUAGAAUUAUGAAUGACUGGAGAAGUUAAAAAUUGUUAUUUGUCGUUUAUGAAAUUGAAGAAAUGGGGCAAAAUGUUUGAUCAAUCAACCAUUUACAAUAAAGGCUAACUGGAAAUUAUUAGAUAUUACAGAAAUGAAAAAUAUUAAUGGCUUUUAAACAUACAGCACAAGUUCAUCACAUUUAUUUCUAGUGACUAAUAAGCAUUGCAAACCCUAUGCAAACACAAGCUCUGGAAAUCUGUUUCUUGCCACCUGUCAGAGCUGAGCACACAUACCACCACAAGGAUCACCCUAUACAUGACCCGUUUCCUGUACUCUUCCCUGCUGUCAUUAGCAGCACCAGCAGCCUGACAUGUCAUUUCACUUUCUUGCUGUUCAUAUGUUCUAGUGAUACUAAGCAAUAUUUGCAUAGCAAGACUACGCCAAAUAAACAAGAAAAGCAUUCACCAAUCUGCAUGUGGCCUAGAUUCCUGUGCUUUCUUCAGUUCGCACUAAUUGUAUGUUUGCUAGGCUUUCACAUCAAAGAAGAUAUUUCACUGAUACAGUGAAAGCUCUCCUGCUCCCUUCCACACAGAACCACCUAUUUAUGGAAGCACCGUGCUCUCCAAGCUUCAAAUUCUAGUUUCUUCUUCUAUGUUACUUAUAAUUAGUGGAAAUAGUAAGCUUGUUUGCCACAAAACACAUUUUACUUCUUCAAGUAGAUGGAACCAGGCCUCUGAACUUUCCAAUUCUACACAUACGAGAAAGCAUUCCUUUUAUGCGAACCCAUGAAUAGCUCACGGUAUGAUCCAACCAGACAAAUGAACUGGCAAUAAGGCCAGAAAAAAUCUGAUACUAAAACUGAUGGCAUUUUGAUAGGAAGUAAUUUCAGUAAUAAAAAUUCUUAGAAAUUUGAAAGCAACAAAAGGAUAGUAGCCUGUUCUUCACUACUGACCUAUUCUUUGCACAAUCAUUUCUCUUCAGCAAGGUUAUUAAAACGAUGUCUCUGUCUUAAUGAAAUUAGUAAGAGUUGAAUACAAUUGAACACAUACAUAUCACUGUAGGAGCUCACAAAACUCUGACUGAAGUUCAACAUUAAUUAUGCAUACCACAGCAGACUAACAAAUAGGUUUGAAACUGGCUGGCAGGUUCAAAAAUGAAUGCACAAAACUAAUUUCCCUGUGAAACCUGCUACAGAGUCCUCUGAGAACUUUGAGGGGAGACCUGUACAGAGCUCUGGACCCUACUGUAAUGGAAAUGAGGGUAGGGAAUGAGACAGUGUUAGCCAUGUGAAGAGAGAAGCCUCAGAAAUACUAAAGGGAACGACUUAGUCUGCAGGAGAUCUCAAGGUGGCAUUACUCUGAAUGGGAAAGACAUCUUGCUGAAAUAACACAUUUCUGAAAUUCAGAAGCACCAAAUACUGUGCUCAUUUAGCAAGAAACAUGUAUGGUGAUGUUCGAAAUAGAUGUCAGACGCUGUCCAAGUAGCAGUCUCCCUCAAGACAGAAGGCCUCUGGAUGCACAGACAUAUAAGAAACCUCAAAAAUAAAGUCUGUCAUUUACUUUUAGCCACUUAGUAAAGAUACUUGAACUGAUUUGUAUACUGAAUUAGAACUCUCAAGUUUAAUAUUCUUUAUCAAUUUUAUGCGAAAAAUAAUGAGGUCCUUCAUUUCUGUACUGGUCAGAAUAACUGUAAAGAGGCUGACAAAGUGCUCUUUAUUUUUGAGUUUUGUUAAAUAAUUUUUCUUUUACAUUAUAUUUUCCCUCUGUUCUCAGCUAUGGUAAGUCUGCACCUUGAGUUCUGUAUUCAGUCCAAAGAAGGGCAACAGAGUCAAGGGGGUCUGGAAGACAAGUCUUAUGAGGAGCAGCUGAAUUGGGAUUGUUGUGUUUGGAGAGGUGGAGGCUCAGGGGACACCUGGUUGCCAUCUACAACUGCUUGAAAGUUGUAGAAAGGUGGGUGUUGGUCUCUUCUCCUAGGUAACAACAGUAGGGUGAGAGAGAAUGGCCUCAAGCUGUGCCAAGGGAGAUUCAGGCUGGAUAUUAGGAAAAAUUUCUUCUCAGAAAGAGCAGUGGGGCAUUGGCACAAGCUGCCUUUGGAGGUGGUAGAAUCACCAUCCCUGGAACCGUUCAAGGAAAGGAGAGAUGGAUGUGGCACUGAGAUGAGUGACAUGGUCUAGAGCGGUCACAGGCAUGGGUUGAUGGUUGGCCUAGGUGAUCUUAGUGGUCUUUGCAACCUUAAUGAUUUUAUGAUUCUACUGUAUCAUUAGAGAAAAAAAUAUAUAUUUUCUUGGCAAUUAACAGUAUAGUAAGUAACAGUAAUAAAUUACAUCAAUGAGAAAAUAGGCAUAAAUUAUAUAUUUGAAUGUGGGAUCAUGCCAGUUUGAUCUACAGUUCCUUGAUUUUCCUCAUUACUUACUGAACUUGUUGCUGCAAAGAUCCUGUGAUGAAAAAUGGUGUUGACUUAAAGUACUGAAAUUACAAAUUAGAAUGUUAUACACAAUUCAUGGAAUACUUUCAGCUUAAAUAUUGUUAAUAUUUCAUGAAUUAUAUAAAUGUAAAAUGUAUGCAUUACAACAAUCUAAUGCUAUACUUACACUAAGGAUUCAACCUAAAUUCUUCCAAGGCAAUUGUACAGAAUAAAAGUGCUAAUGAACUCCUGAGCAUUAUUACUCUGAAGAAUGAGGAAGAAGAAACAAAUUAGUUUACAAGCAAGUUCACAAGACUAGAGAGCUCCAAUAGUAGAACUGCACCAAAAAUAAUAAUGUUUUUUAUCAUAUUAAAUCUUAUCUAAUACCUUCCAAGUGCUAACAGUUUUAUGAUGGGUUUUAAGGCUGAUUAGAUAAAAUAUUCUUAUUUUUAAAGCUGAUAAAACAGAACAUUCUUAAGAUUUCCUGUCCUUCAGCAAGUAGUAUACUUCACUUGGGAAAACAAACCCUUUACUCACAGACUUUCUAAAAUAUCUCUUUUUUUUCCAUUUUUCAAUUAGACCCAGGAGAAUUCUUGCUACAAAACUUCAUUGCUUUUUGCUUUCUUUAAAGAUAUUAAGCUGUUAGUACUGCAGCAAUAAAGUUCAUCUGGUUUUAUGUAGGUUCAGUGGUGUCCCAAGUCUAUUUGCCGUGUUAUUUGGUAAGUGAGGAAAUUCACUGUAGUGUUAAUAGAUUAACUAGCAAUUGAUCAAAUGAUAUCCAGUAAGUAAUGAGAAAGAUGUAUCUAGAGUGAGAAGAAUGACUUUUGGCUCAGAUAACUAAAUUGAAGUAAAAUGAAAUAAACCCAGGUAAGAUGCUUUUUUGCACUGGGACAAACAUUUUAAACUAUGCUCUGACAAGUGUCUUAAGUCUACCUAAAAUAAAGGUCUACGCUAAAGCUUGAUAAAAAGCUUGGUAGAAGAGCUGGCUUGUGUAAAAACAACUGAGCUCAAUUCCACUGUGAGUUCAUCGCUCUUGUGAAGCUCUUUUCUUGCAUGAAAGUAUUACCAAUCUUAUAAAGUAUUUCUAAGCAAAAUCAAUUAUCUUCGAUCAUAGUCUAUUUUAAUACUUCACAAUAAUUAUGAGGACAUAUAAAUGGUGGUGAAGCUACCUAAUAUUUGUGCAAAGCUUCAUCAGCAGUUUCUUCAUGUCGAAACAGAAAAUGCUGCAUGUCAACUUGCAUGAAUUCAUUUAACUUAGUUAGCUUACAGCUGACCCUAAAGACUCCCUGCUUGUUCACCCCGUGCCUCUCAUAUAAAUUAUCUCUCUGUACUGAAGUGUUUUGGUUAUUCCUAGAUAUCCCACACAACAAAUGUUCAGUAGAUACUUCACUGUUUUUUUAACAUUCUGUUUUCAUAUCAAAUAACUGUAGUGCACACCUGGGUAUCACCAUCCGUUUCCACACAGCUGCAAAGCUCUCAUAUGGAAGUUUUUUUUUAUCAUUCAUAUCUGAAAUAACACUGCUGUGUGCUGCUAAAUACAGGAGAAAGGACAUCAGGAUCCACAUUAGAAUCAGAAUGAGGGAUGAGAAAGCUCCAGUCCAGUUAGAACUCAACAGUCAAUACUUAGGUGCAAGAAUUAGGGAAAAAACUGUAGAACAGGCCUGGAGAAUGGAAUUUUCAAAGCUGCUACUGUGUGGUUCACACUAUUGCACCAGGCAAUAGUAGCACAGGAGAUGAGCUGCAGAGCACAUGAAAGGGGUACAGAAUUUUACUCGGAAGAGAGUAGCUCACUAAUUAAGACUGGAAUUGAAAAGUCUGAGAUAUAACUUCAUUACAGUUUGGGUCAGAAGUCAGUUUUUUGGGACAAGAAGGCAUGCCAGUUCCCUACGAAGUAAGACCAUGUUCUAAGCACUCCAGCCACCUAGCAACGCUAGGACAUUCGCUAGCUAUCCUCAAAACCAAACUGCAAACUGUCUUUCAUCAGCUGUAGUUAUUAUCAGUGUCAAAGCAAACUACUGAACCAACAUAAAAUCAAUGGUGCAUGGAUGGACAAGAACCUAAACAGAGAAAAAAAGAGAAAUGUGACAAAAGGUGGGACAAAGCCCAAGUGAUAAUUCUUGAGGCAUGUGGUCGUUUUGUAUGGCUAGCUGACAAAAAAAGACUGGAGGUUUAGGAUGUUUUUAUUAACAAUCAAGGAUACAUGAAACAGUAAUUUCAGCAAGCAUGCAUUAGGACAAAAAACACUAUAUUAUAGGUUAAAAGACAUUUAACAGUCACAAUUUCAUUGUAUUUUAGAUUAACAAGACAUUAUAUAAUUAUAGUAAAGUAGAUGUUCUUUUCAUUACUUCUUUUUUACAGGAAUGAUACUAAAAAGAAUCUAAAUAUCUGAAGUCAGUACUAGCUAGUGCUUGACACUCUACAGCCAUACAUAGAGCAGGAUAAUUAAAGCUGCCAGGUAUUAAAUAGCUCCAAGCACAUGCAAUGCCUUACUUAUGGCUCACAAAGAAUCAUCGUGGGCCUUUGGGUUAAAUCCAAAGCUUGAUGAGAUACACACACUGAUAACAAUUCUCCAGGUCGAUUCUUUACACACUUUUGCAUAUCUACAGACACGGGGGAGAAUUCUCGGCCAGCUUUUCCUCCAACCCAGUAGGAUGAAAACAAUUUUCUUUCCUGUAAAUAAGGAAGUCACAAAGACAAAUGUUGCUCCUUAGAUUAACUCACUUACCUUCAAGGCUUGGUGCAGCUGUGAAAAACAAGCAAGCACCCGGAGGAUCUCUUUGAAUGAGCGAGCCCCGAGAAAAGUUAGAACACAUAACGCACAAAACUUCCAAACUAAAGACAUUAAAAUUUGGUUCUUUCUGAGCAGCUCUCAGAGUAAGACUGAAGGUGGAAGGAGGGCAGAGCUCUGUAGCCAUGGCUUGAGGGUUGCAGUGACACUGCUGUGCCUCCUAAGGAUGGCGGCUGUGCAGCACCCGGGGCGCGCUGCAGCCAGUGCUGGCUUCUGUCUCCUUCAGCCGCCUUUAUUUUGAGGGUGACUCUAAUCAGCAGUCACAUUUACCUUCCCUCCUCCUGCUCUCACAUAGCAUAAGGAAGGAGAAUGGACCAAGUCUGGCUCAAAAAUGUAGUUAGGAGACAUCAGUAGCUGUUUGGGAGCUGUGAUCUCUGCACACAGGAGCAAAUGAGAAUUUUUAGUAGACUAAAGAAGCACAGUGCUACUCCCCCAUCCUCCUGUAACUGUAAGCCCUGAGCAUAACAUUAUUCUACACUUCAAUUAUGCUGAUCUGCCAAAUAAUUUAAAAUUCUAAAAGCCUGUAAGCCUUAUCUUCUAGGCAGAAGAAGAAGAAAUAACAGUGCCAAAGGCAUAAAAUUUAGAAACAUAGUGUUGCAAAUGGAAAGAAAGGAAAAACUCAUAUGGGAAAAGAACAGUAGACAGUGACUGUGAAACAGGGAGAAAGAGAGGAGUGAAGGUCACAACAGGAGAAAUGAAAUAGAAAGUCAUGCAAGAGAUGAAAAAAUGUGGCUGAGCCUUAUACAGGAGCAUGCAGGGCAUGCAGCAGCCCUGAGAAGGACUGACAGCACUCAGGGUAUCUGGCUGGAGACAGAAGGAUUUUGGGCACUGUAGGGAAGUAAGGGGCACCCACAUCAUCUGGUGGAUAACAGGUGGAGAAACAGGUGCCAAAGAGCCUGGGUACCACUGGCCAGGUCAGGAAGAUUCUUCACAAAUAUGGAUCUGAUCUGAGUGAGUAUUGAAAAGGUGCAGUCAGUGCUCUGCACAUGCCCUGAACACACUGACCAGCUGACACCAGCUUAACCGUAAGUGGAGAUGGGAUCAAAAAAACAGUGGAUGAAUCAGUCCAAAGAGCAAGAUAUGAGUGUAUUCUGUGACAAGACCAGAAGUCAGAAAGGAAAGCAUUCACUGGCACAAAGUACAGCAGAGAGGAAGAGCUACAGAGCUCUGCCCUCCUUCCACCUUCAGUCUUACUCUGAGAGCUGCUCAGAAAGAACCAAAUUUUAAUGUCUUUAGUUUGGAAGUUCUGUUCGUCUGUCUGUCGGGACAGACAGAAGCACCAGGAAUGAAACUUUGGGAGCACCUGAUAACACAGGAGUACACUGAGCAGUGAAGGACAGUUGUUAUCCUAACACUAAUACAACCUAGCACUAGGCUGGGGAAAAUCAGUGGCCAGGGCUUAGGCCCUCACUCACAGUAUCACAGAAUCAUAGAAUCAAGGUUGGAAAGACCACUAAGAUCACCUAGUCCA